GACGAACGCUGGCGGCGUGCUUAACACAUGCAAGUCGAACGGAAAGGCCCUGCUUUUGUGGGGUGCUCGAGUGGCGAACGGGUGAGUAACACGUGAGUAACCUGCCCUUGACUUUGGGAUAACUUCAGGAAACUGGGGCUAAUACCGGAUAGGAGCUCCUGCUGCAUGGGGGGGGUUGGAAAGUUUCGGCGGUUGGGGAUGGCCUCGCGGCUUAUCAGCUUGUUGGUGGGGUAGUGGCUUACCAAGGCUUUGACGGGUAGCCGGCCUGAGAGGGUGACCGGCCCCAUUGGGCCUGAGAUACGGCCCAGCCUCCUACGGGGGGCAGCAGUGGGGAAUAUUGCACAAUGGGCGGAAGCCUGAUGCAGCAACGCCGCGUGCGGGAUGACGGCCUUCGGGUUGUAAACCGCUUUCGCCUGUGACGAAGCGUGAGUGACGGUAAUGGGUAAAGAAGCACCGGCUAACUACGUG
rnacentral:rRNA from 1 species